GCCUGGAUAGUUCAGUUGGUAGAGAGCAUCAGACUUUUAACCUGAUGGUUCAAGGUUCCAGAGUUCAAGUCCCUGUUCAGGUA
rnacentral:tRNA from 1 species